rnacentral:rRNA from 1 species
AUGCAAGUCGAGCGAAUGGAUUAAGAGCUUGCUCUUAUGAAGUUAGCGGCGGACGGGUGAGUAACACGUGGGUAACCUGCCCAUAAGACUGGGAUAACUCCGGGAAACCGGGGCUAAUACCGGAUAACAUUUUGAACCGCAUGGUUCGAAAUUGAAAGGCGGCUUCGGCUGUCACUUAUGGAUGGACCCGCGUCGCAUUAGCUAGUUGGUGAGGUAACGGCUCACCAAGGCAACGAUGCGUAGCCGACCUGAGAGGGUGAUCGGCCACACUGGGACUGAGACACGGCCCACACUCCUACGGGAGGCAGCAGUAGGGAAUCUUCCGCAAUGGACGAAAGUCUGACGGA